ensembl:snRNA U6 U6 spliceosomal RNA
GUGCUGGCUUCAACAGCACAAAUACAAAAAUUGGAAUGAUACAGAGAAGAUUAGCAUGGACCCUGGGCAAGGAUGACAGGCAAACUCUUGAAACAUUCCAUAUUUAA